rnacentral:rRNA from 1 species
GACGAACGCUGGCGGCGUGCUUAACACAUGCAAGUCGAACGAAGUGGCGAACGGGUGAGUAACGCGUAAUCAACCUGCCCUUCAGAGGGGGACAACAGUUGGAAACGACUGCUAAUACCGCAUACUGAAGGAGGGGAUGGGGUCUGAUUAGCGGGUUGGGGGGGUAACGGCCCACCAAGUCGAUGAGCAGUGGCCUGUCCUGGAGGAUGAAUGGCCACAUUGGGACUGGGACACGGCCCAGACUCCUUCGGUAGGCAGCAGGUGGGAAUCUUCCGCAAUGGACGAAAGUCUGACGGGGCAACGCCGCGUUGGGGAUGACGGCCUUCGGGUUGUAAAGCUCUGUUAAUCGGGACGCGGUACCGGAAUAGAAAGCCACGGCUAACUACGUGCCAGCAGCCGCGGUAAUAC